rnacentral:rRNA from 1 species
UACGUAGGGUGCGAGCGUUGUCCGGAAUUACUGGGCAUAAAGAGCUCGUAGGCGGUUUGUCGCGUUGUUCGUGAAAACUCACAGCUCAACUGUGGGCGUGCGGGCGAUACGGGCAGACUGGAGUACUGCAGGGGAGACUGGAAUUCCUGGUGUAGCGGUGGAAUGCGCAGAUAUCAGGAGGAACACCGGUGGCGAAGGCGGGUCUCUGGGCAGUAACUGACGCUGAGGAGCGAAAGCGUGGGGAGCGAACAGG